rnacentral:rRNA from 1 species
UAGAGUUUGAUCCUGGCUCAGAAUCAACGCUGGCGGCGUGCCUAACACAUGCAAGUCGCACGAGAAAGUGGAGCAAUCCAUGAGUAAAGUGGCGCACGGGUGAGUAACACGUGAAUCAUCUACCUCCGAGUGGGGAAUAACCUAGAGAAAUCUGGGCUAAUACCGCAUAACACUUACGAGUCAAAGCAGCAAUGCGCUUGGAGAGGAGUUCGCGGCCGAUUAGUUAGUUGGCGGGGUAAUGGCCCACCAAGACGAUGAUCGGUAUCCGGCCUGAGAGGGCGCACGGACACACUGGAACUGAAACACGGUCCAGACUCCUACGGGAGGCAGCAGUGGGGAAUUUUGCGCAAUGGGGGAAACCCUGACGCAGCAACGCCGCGUGGAGGAUGAAAUCCCUUGGGAUGUAAACUCCUUUCGAUCGGGACGAUUAUGACGGUACCGGAAGAAGAAGCCCCGGCUAACUUCGUGCCAGCAGCCGCGGUAAUACGAGGGGGGCAAGCGUUGUUCGGAAUUAUUGGGCGUAAAGGGCGCGUAGGCGGUCUGACAAGUCUGAUGUGAAAUCUCUGGGCUCAACCCAGAGUCUGCAUUAGAAACUGUCGGGCUUGAGUAUGGGAGAGGUGAGUGGAAUUUCCGGUGUAGCGGUGAAAUGCGUAGAUAUCGGAAGGAACACCUGUGGCGAAAGCGGCUCACUGGACCA